UAAUUAUAUACAUGUACAAUUCUUCGCGAUAAUUUAUCAAGAUGUUGUUGCGUGCGUAGCCAUCGCGAAUCGCACAAUUUUUGACGUGACUUUUUGAAUCAUACGCUGCAGCGAUACUCGUGGUAAUUUUUCGCAGUACAUAGUAUACGUGACGCAAUAAGUAAAUGUAGGAUACGAAACGCGGUGUGAGCGUUAUUCCUGCAUGCAGGCAUCGUAGAGUGUGGAUAUCACGAGGCGUUAGGCCUGGGAUAGACACGUAACUCGCCUCAUUAAGCUCGACUCUCGCUUUUUAAACAUGCCUCUGUUAAGUGCGCGCUCUGCCUCCACUCGUUUACGCAAUACGGGAGAUUUCGCUUCUAUUCACGAUGCAGCAUGUGAGAUCUGUGAGAUCAUCUGAUUCGCGAAAUUUUCUUUGACGAGGCGGGAGUACCGCUCAUUGUUUCGCGAGAGGAGUAUUGUUUCCGAUAUAUUCGUUUGUUGUGUAAUCGCUUGUUCGAUAACGCUUUCUUCCUCAUCUGCAACGCAUGGUGAUGAUAAUGCAUAAGCAAAAAAUAAUUAGUAUGUAAUAAAACAUAAAUUAUUUAACGUUACGUAGAAACUCUGUUAAAUGUAACUCUGUUAAAUUAAACUCUGUUUAAUUUUUGUAAUAUUUUAUUGUCGCUUUGUUGAUUAUAUUAUCGCAUUUUUUCUUCGAUAAAAUUUCGAUAUUUAUUAACGUACAUUAACGCGUGGAUAAAAUUUAUCGCAUUAUUUUCAUAAUUGAACAUCGCGAACUUUCUGUUACAACAAAGUAUGGCUGUUUGCUUUCCUGCUUUCUUUUAGUGAAACGAUAUUUCAGUUGGCCGAUUAAAAAUUAUACAGAUUUUCUCAUAUGUGUGUCAGAUAAUAAGUGAAAUUAAAUUGGAAUCGUAAAAACACGAGGAACAAAAUAGUUCCAUCAUGAAAACUAAUAUUUGAAUCUAUUUGUAGAUAUUUAUUUCAAAAACCGCUUAUAAAAGUUUAAUUUAAACUGUGCCGAAUAUAAUAAGAUCCGUGUUAUUUGUAUAAUAAGCAUUUGUAUAAUGUAUAAUGUAUUCACAUUAGCAAUUCCACAUACACACACACACACACACACACAAACAAUAAGAAAGAGAUGCUAUUAGUUUGAAAAUAUUGUACCAUAUCUACCGCACAUUUUGAUUGUAUUCCUUCAUGAGCCCGUUAUCUCCCGUGCAUUAUAUUCCAGAUUUAAUACCAGAUAUUGUCAAGCGAUUCGAAUUUUAUUCAUGUAAAUCCAAAUUUCGAACUUAAAGCGCGUUGUGGGAUACGAACAUGAUAGAUUUUAACGUUCCCUAUCUUUUAUGUUGCUCAGUUGGAUCACGAUGCAUUAGAUUGCGAAAAAUUGCGAGUCCAUAUGAAUUUUGGAUCUCAUUUUCAUCUCGGAAAUGCUUACUCGCUGUCAUGGGAAUUUCUACGUCGCGUUGUAUAAUGAAAGGCGAUACGAUAUGAAAGGCCGAGGGAAAUAACGUAUUUCCGAGCGUACGUGCAUAGUCGCGUAUACUCGUAUCUCGACGUGUUACACUUACACCCGAUUGUUGAAAACAAAGUUUGCAAAAUUGCCGGAAACUGUAGGAGACGUGGGAGUGAGUUUUAGAUGCCGAUAACCUGCGAUAACCCUUUCGACCUGUGCAUUUCACCUGGACCUGAUAAACGACAUUGUAUCCUCUCAUUGUUCCGAGCCGCGGCCGCUUUGCGAUGCCCGCGAUGCGAUGUGACAAUGAGCACGAUGAGACCCGCGACCCACGCUUAACUCGGCCGAUAAACUCCGAUCUCUCGAUCGUGCCCAUUUCUGCCGUUUAUUAACGCUUUAAGCCUGGCAAUGACGUUGCAUUGUGCACGCCGUGACUCGGGCGUACAAUUGUAUCGGUGAUUGCAUCUGACCCUGAGUUGGCGAUUCGUUUCAUCUUCCUCUGCUUUGUAUUCUAGCUGUGAUAUCAAGAGGGAUAAUUCGAUUAAGCGUUCCGUUUCCCCGGAAUUCCCUCUGGGAAGGAAAGGAAAAAAAGUGUAUCUUUCACGCAUGCCAGUUUUUCUUUAUUCAACUUUGAGAGGUGCUUCCAUUUACCUCAAACAUUGUGCGGGUAAGGAGGAAUUAGGUGAUUAUGCGUAAACCAUUUCUGAUAUUAUUUUUCUUCUUUAUUAUGGUAUAAAGAAUGACUCUACCAUGAGAUUUUAUUCAAUAAACGUGGCGAUAAAUUGGAUGCAAGUUUCUUGCUUGAUCCGCAAAUUUGUGAAAUUAAAAUUGUGUCAUGUGAUGUAAUCUUAUUAAACCGCGUGUAUUAACGUAGAUGAAUAUAACGUUUUGCAGGAAUCGAGAGGCGAUGCGAAUUUUAGAAAGUUGCCGUGCAACAAGAUGCAUUUUUUUACGUGGUAACAUGUAAUACUACGAUGUAUCGCGCGGGAUUUUAUUGAAUAAGAAAGAGAUUCUGUGAGAUGCCGGAUAUAUGCGUGACGUCACGCCGUAAGAUUGUAGCACAAUUACUGAGAAUUGACCUUCAAGACUCGUUUAUAGUAACACUUUAUUAAUUAGAGCACACAAUGCGCCGUGGACUAAAUGUCACGGUAUCCGAAUCACAUCCGAAAUACAUUCGGAAAAUAAUUCGACACACUUUCUAACUAAGAGUAUUAAGAAAGUGGUCGAGUACAGCUUAUAUCUAUCCUGUCGAAAUAAAAUGAAGUUUGUAAGCUUUUGCAUUGCGCCAUGUGAAACUCGAUGUUGUUCCCGUACUGUUUUUUCAGCGGAAAAUCAAACGUUUAGUAUUAUAUCCUUUAAAACAAUAAAAUAUAAAAUUUUUAUCUGUUUGAUGAAAUAUUGUAUUUCGCCUUCUGUCUGUCCGAGUUGAUUUUUUUUAUUGCAUUGAUAGUCAGGAAGUUAAAACUACUGAUAUUUCAGCGAUACACGUGCAUUGAUGGUAUCGAUAUUGAGUUCGGCCCAUGUUUUUCAACUAAAUUAUAUACAUGGAAACCUAACCACGAUUUAUUUGAACGUUUUUCUUUUAUUUUCGUUAAUUGAUGCUGUUAACAGAAUUAUAUUUGUAAGUUAAGCUUUCUAUCCAAAUGUGAAAAUCAAACAUUUCGUAUUAAACAAGCGCAAACAGAAUCAAAGAUAUGACUCCGAUGUCACGGUUUUGAAUUUUGUCCCUUGUUUUCGGAAAACGAUACAUUUUUCGGAAAAGUAAUGAGCAGGUUGCUCAUUCUUUUCUUUUUCAAAAAAUCAGAAGUCUUUUAUACUACAUUUAUGUAACAUACGAAAUGUUAUAUUUAAAAACCUGACGAGAAGUCCUGGCGAUCGUCGGGGUUCGUUGUUACAUAAGUUAUUCGCACACAUCGGAAAAAACGUUGGAAGAGGGGACAUUGGUGUGCCGUUUGAAACUACGGCGAGAAAUCGGCGUGAACGUACAAUGUUACCGGAAGUUCAGCGAGGCGCGUUAAGGAACUUUCGAGAGCAGAAAAAGCUCCAGUUCUCCAUACUCGCGUUAAUAAUCCUUUUACUCGUGCUCACUCGUUCGCGUUGCUGAAGCUCGAAAGCUUCCAUAAAAUUUUAACUCGAUCACGCGCGGCGCAUUUAUGCGACUAAGCUCGUCUGCGUUAACGGCACUUGAUAAAAAGGCGCGUCUCGACUCGGCAACAAAUUUGCUGGUUGUUUCGUGCUUACGGCGUGAAUUCUUGACUUUGUGCGCGGCGACGUGAUUAAAUACAGAGGGAAUCGAAGAAUUAUGUCAUGUUGUUGAACGAUAAGGUAGUUCAUCAGUUGGCGAUUAGCUGCAAUUAAUAUUGAAUAAUUAAUUGAAAUUAAUAUGUAUCAUUAAUACAUUAACGUAGUAUAUAGUAUAGUAAUAAUCAUGCCAAUAUUAUGAUAAACCACUGUAAAUUUCGUAGCUAUGGCAAUAGAAACUGAUAUUUGACACGUAGAAUCAAAUUUGCACAUUUCGAAAAGGAUCGGUUUUCGAAAUUGAGCAAAACAUUAUUUGGGAUUCUGAGAAACAUGAUAUUACAUGUAACUCGCUUUCCUGCUGGAUGUUACGUGAACAUUAUCGUAGAACUUUAUUGCUGAAGUUCUCUAAAAUUGUUACAGGGUUGGUCUUACCAAGCAUGUCCAAUUAAAGUUAAUUACUGUCGAUGAAUAGCUUGACGCGAGCGGCCUCGUAGAUUACGUAUAAAAUUCUGGAAAGUUUCAAUGUAUCGAGGGAGACGUCCAUGUGAAACCACUAUCCAAUUACGUAUUAUUAAUUAACGUUGCGCGUUUCAGUUUGAGAUAUCCCAACCUGAUUCAAUGUAGAACCUGUAAUCUCGAUAUACGUGAAAAAAGACUCGAAUUUAACACCGAGCGCGUCGAUGAGAACAGAUUAUUCCACGCUUAUCCUCCAUGGUACGGUUGGUUAUUCGGAGAGUCUCCGGACAGUCACUCGCUUAAUUUGCAUUGUAAUAAAAAAGAUACACACUCGAGCGUACUGUAGUAACUACGAGAGCAGGGUUUUGCACCAAAGCCACUGAAAUUGUUUAUCGACGUGGCGUCAAACACAGUUCAUCGAACUCUCGAUGGACCCGAUGCAUCACUCACCGGUGCCGCGUGCGAAAUUGUCUCGCAUAAAUGAAAGAGGACGAAUAAAACAGCGACUUCUCGAUAUGUCACGUUUCCGACCCGCCACUUCGACUCGCGACAAAAGUCUCCGGGGGAGGCGCCGGGCAAAUGCGCGGGGACGAUCGACAAUGUACGUGCUCGUGUAGUGCUUCCGAUAUGCGUUGCUGACACGUACGAUCCGCUACAUUUCAGAGUGCCUUCGAUGCGUCUCGAGCGGCAGAAGGUUCACUCCUGACGCGAACCUGCUGUCUUUCGAUAAGCAGAAAACCAAGAAGAGGAAAAAGUCACACUCUACAGCACCCCAUAUAUUUAACCCCUUAGCGCUCAUGCCGCUAGCACUUGUUGCUCUGAACUAAAAUGGCAGAUUCACAGGGCGCGUCGGAAUUCCCGACCCUAAUUUUAGCGGGAUUCUUCGAUCGAUUUCGAGUCGAUUUUGCGAUACCAGAGAUAUCAGCUACGAGCGGACGGGGAAAUGAAAUAUAAGCAUGUAGGAAGAGAGAGGGUUAAAAUUUGAGUUUUUCCGCUUUACAACUCCGGAACCGAGUGUAAGUACACGAACGAGGGUACGAUCGUGCCUCUUAUGAAAUAUUUUUCCGGCUGGCGGGUGUUUUAUCAGAGGUGCACGAUAUUUCGUGUCUAUCACGUACACUAUUCAUUCUCUGUCGGUGAUUUCCCGGUGAGUUGCAAGUGUGGAAGGAUUCGCGUCGAGAUGGCGAGUGUGUGAAAGAGCGGAGUGAAGAAAACGCGAGUGAUACAUCCGCGAUAUCGUCUCACGGAUGAAUGGAUAUGGAUUUCUAGUUCACGAAACACUGUCCCGGGGAAAUAUCGUCUCCGACGAUUUCUGUCUCCGUCCGCUAUUCUGCUCCUAGCCGGAGUUUGUCCAGGUGCUGCGAUGGCGCGCGCGCGCCUUUCGCGUUCACUUUGCAUGAAACAUUACAAAACUCUAAGUAGACGGAAUAACAUUGCACACCGUUGCGCAGACUUGCUCGACUCGUGGAGCGAAUCGCCUUAGCGUUGCGAGAGUGUUUCGGAAGGUUUGCACGAAACUUGUGCAGCGUACUCUUUGACGAAUCGAAUAACAAAUCUCGCGAAACAUCGUGCUCAUUUUCUGUGGAAUGAUCGAGAUCCCUUUUUAGUAUAAUUUUGCAAGUAUUUCAAAUGUGUUUGCAUUAUGAAGUAUCUCCCUUUAGAAGCGAGAUAUUUGCGCUUCACGCUAACAGCUAAAAUACUUGGCUGAGUUGGAGAAAAAUUUACCUUCAAGUUACGAAUGGAAUGUUUAACUUUAAUUAUGCACUGCACUACGUUCUGUGAUACUCGUGAAAUAAUGUGGUAAUUACAUUUCACGAAAAAACUUCAGCAUUAAUUCUCAAUUAAAUCUCUGCGUUUCUCAUCUUUUUUCGGAAAAAAGUAACCCUCAAUACAAAUGUGCGAAGAUAUGCGAAGCAAUAAUUUCGAUACCAUUCACAGGUGAAUGACAAGACGUGCAAAUACGUUGCCACGUACGAUUUGUUGAAAAUAUAUUUCUCGAACUUCUCGACGCACAUUUUUUCAGUGCAGCAGCACAAUAUUGAAGUCUGCAAGACGUUAUUGGAUUUUUAUUCAUAAAGUAUUCAAAUAAUAUUAUAUUAUUUAAUUGCAUUAUAAUUACAUUAAUUUAUGGUAUUGUUGAAAGCAGAUAUUAAUGAAUCGCAUGACGAAACACAUGGGAAAACAGUGCGAAUAUCGAAGUGUUACGCGCGGGGAACAGUCGAUUCCUGUGAAACAUGUGUUCGUAAAUACGCGUGUCGUGCCACCUGCAGUAGAGUAUGGCGUGUAGUGUAUUGCGCCUGCACCUUGCGCGCCAGCAGAAUUUGUAGACCUUGCGGUCGCAAGCUUCUAAAUAAUCCCGGACUUGGUAAUAUCACUUGGUCCACUAAAUUCCCUCGAAACUAAAUAGCGAAGGACAGAUGUGCCUGACAGACAUUAUGAGGACCGCCUCAGGUUUGAUUCGCUUGACACAGCCUGGUAUGCAGCACCAUAAUCAUAGUUCAGCCAAAUUUAUGAAGUUCUAUAAUCAAGCAAUUAAUUAUACAUCAUGCAAAAUGCGUUUGAAGCGGGAUUCUUGUCGAUGGAUACUUUAAUUAAUUUAAAUAGCUUUUUCCUAGACUUUUUCGUUGGAGAAAACUUGGAGAGUGGUCGACAUCUGUUGCAACUUUUGAAUAUUCAGUAUCGAAUGUCUCGUGGUAAUUAAAAGUCAGAUUAAAAUUCUGGCAAACUCACUUGGAACUCAUCCAGGAAAUUGUCGUUAGAAUUAUGUGGUCCGGGAGUCUGAACUGUAUACCUUGAAACGAAUGGAAACGAAUAAAAAGCCACGGUUAUUAUCGCGACGCGAAGGGCGGAAAUGUCCAAGAGAAUUUCGUGUAACGAACGUUGUCUCUAUAUACAGUAUGAUACGGCCUUAUUCACGGUGUAUUAUAGAUCGUCACGCGUAAUCGCUGUAAUGAAAUUUAAGCCACAGGCUCUACUCAAUGCGGCAAUGUAUCUCGCGACGGUAACUUCGCUGCGUUAGGAUGCUGUGGGAUCUUAACGUGGCGCGGCGCUUAAUGAGAGAAACGCAGCGAGAGGAUCAAAGGAGUAAUCAAGUGCAUUUGUAUUUAGACACCAUAUAUAGCAAUAGCAAAUGCCCCUAUACAAGAGGCCAGAUUUACCGACGACCGCUGGUGGACGCGUGUGAUUCGCAUUUCAAUCGGAUUCGACCAUACUUGAUCGAAUCUGCAACCUGCGCUCUAAACGCCAUCGUGUCUCUAUCAAAGACGGUUCAUUGAAUUAGAUUGUGAACGUCUUGCGUUGAUGCGAUGGUAAGGACAGGAUGUCCGAAUUCUGUCCGAGGCGUUGUGAAACACUCAUAUUUUGAAUGCGUUUAGAAGCUAGCCAUUAUAACAGAAAUGAUUGGAAGGUAUUUUAUCGUCUAUAAUUCAUACUGGAUAAUAAAUAACACAAAUAUUCCGAGUAAUUACAACUCGGAGCAACUUCGUCGCCUUGUUUGAUCACGCUAAAUCGAUUGUUUGGUCGCGGUAGUCCACGAGAUUGUCAAGCGAACAGUUAAUGAUAAAGGAGAACGUUUGUUUUGCAUCAAGCAAACUAACGGUUCGAGCAGAAGUGGAUUAUCCGGAUCCAUUACAGGAUAAAUGUUUAAAAUGUUACCGCGAUUAAUGCUACGGUGCCAUUUUCAUUCUGAUGAAUAAUUGUACGAGAUUAAACAUCCAGCAGAGUGAAGCUCGUCUGAAUUUAAAUAAACGAUAGAAUUUCCUCAUUUAAUUUCGUCUGCGAAAUGCAUUUGUAAUUUCGCUUGUAAUUUCGAAACUAUUUUGUCCAGACAUAUAAAAGAAUAACUAGCACUGAGAGCCGAUCAAAAUACAUAUGAUUCAUAUUUAUAAUAUGAUUAAUAUCAAGAUGAAGAACACUCUCCGAGAGAAUUUUGCAAAAGUUUGCAGGUGAUUCCAAAACUUGAUUUAUGCAAGUAGUAUCGAGCUAAAGAUUUACAUGGUUUACAUUCAAAUCGUUCUACCACCUUCUUCCUGUACAGUAUCUCUUUCUUAUUUGACAAAGAUACCGCGAUUAAAGUUUAAAUAACAUCAUAAGGGCAGUGCUGCUUUCCUUCUCUCCUCUAGAGGGAAGCUUUGCGUAACUUGCGCGCACGUCUUCAAAGUUCUUCCUUCCAUUUCCCAGCAAGAAGGGUUAACCAGGGACGCAGCUUUUCGUACACGCGUUAUCUCUCGGGGACGUAGGGGCGUAUCGCUUAAUCUGCUAAAUUACCGUGUACAGUCGAAGAGCGAGAUCUUCGAGGAUUACGGCUUAAUGAAAUUUGAACCCGGUGGAUUUGCUCGUGGUACAAGAGCGUACCCGCAACCACCAACGCGAGUACAUACGUAACGCCUCUCCCCCGCGGAAUCUCGAUCUUAAGACCGGCACUUACCCUAAGAGACAAAUUCGCCGAGGGAUAUUCUAAGGAACCAACCGCGCGUCGGCAUGGCGAGCGUAGUCGCGUGUUUCGGUAAUCCGAUGGAUGUAAUCGCUUCCACUACGUACGUAAAGGCGAGGUGAAAUCCGUUAAGUCGUCUUCAUCUUGUAAGAUACAUCCGCGAUACCGCCCGUUACUCGGACGAGAGGAGAAAUGUUAUUCCAACCGCGCGAUUGUGUGAGUCAUCUUGCAUCGGGAUUAACUCAGACUGCUUCGUGAGAUUGUUCGCUAAUAUCGCGGGACGAAGGAUGAAUAAUAUGUGUAUAUUUUGUAUUGAUAUCAUUACUUUUUUAUGGAUGAAGAAAUUGGACAUCGUGUAAAAAUUACAUGUUGCACAUUAUAAUUGCAUUCAAUGCAAUUGAGUUCAAUGUCACGAUGUGUGUAGGAGACAGUUUUGCAUUAAUACAAAUUUAAUUCAUUAUUACAUUCAACAUUUAAUCUUAGUAAAUAAGCUUCACAUUUCUAUCACAAUUUCUUGCAAUCUUCUCGCGCUGUUUAAAGUCAUAAUUCAAGAUAAAUGGUGUGAAUAUUCCUGAAUUUUCAAAUUAGAUAAUAAUUAAGCAUUAAGUAACAAUUAAUAGCGAUAAAAGCGAGACUACAUCGAGAUAUAGUGCACUUUAGUCACACUGCAGUAUCAAAGACAGUAUUAAUCUCUUUGCAUCGCGACGAAAGUACUAGACGCUCGACUCGUCGAGUAUUCAUCGAUCGAAGUCUUUCUCUUCGAAGAUAGAGAACAGAGAGGAACCCCCGUCGCCCUUUUGUCUCUCAAAAAGCGGCGACCAUCGCAUAGUGAGAAGAAGGGGAGAGGCGAUUAGAAUUGCGCUUCUCUUUACACGAGCUUCCUCUCUUCUCGUACCUCUUUCGCGCGCGCAACCACCGGAAACGGCGCUGUUCUCACGUAAAUGCGCAUAAAUUUCCUCCUGCUUCCCCCUUUUCACCCUUUUCUCUCGCGCUUGCUCCUUGUUUUUUUUUCUCUUUCUUACGGAGGGACUUUAAUUCCUCGGUCGUCUUAAUCAAAAGUUACGGUCCCGUUGUUUUGCGCUGAGUUAAAGCGUCGCGCUACGCGGCCACGGGCUGCGCGCGAACGCUUAUGAAAAUGGAUUUUAAUUCAGUAAAAGUGAAAAACAGAGUUAAUCUUACUCGGCAGUCGCGCCCGCUGGGCGAGAUUAAAAUUUCGAAUCGCCGAGCAACGAGGUAGGAUUCAGGAAAUUAUUAAAGCUGGUUGAGGCAUUUUAUCGAGGCGUGAGACUGCAAUACCUCGAGCGGUCGUUUAAAUAUUUCCACGCAUUUGCGACGAUUGAAUUUGAAUUUUCCUUGCUUUAUUGAAUUAUUUAAAUGUACACAGUUGCUCAACUCGAUAAGAAAGAAAAUCCGUUGCGAGAGUACGACAAUAAACACUCGUAAUUUCCAUUGCGCAUUGUAAUAACGCGCAUUGUGUUUGUAAUUACAUAUAUUAUAAUUUGCAUUCUAUUUAAUCAUUUAUGAUCCAACGAUCGUGCCGAUGCAUUCAUUUACAAAACCUUUUUCACUUUUCUCUAUUGUAGUCAUCAUCGUAGUUUUCAGUAAAUACCAUGUAAUACAGUAAAUUUAAAUCACCAAUCGAGUAUUUAAAAAACCACUCGCUUCUGCUUUGAUUACUUUUAUCAAUCGACUUUCGUUAAUAAUCGAUAUUUUAGCUAAUGAGAUAGAUGUAGAGGAAAAUUAGAAAGAUACUAUCAGACAGGCUAAGGUAGAAAAGAAAGAUAAAGGAAAAAGGGGAGGACACACAUACACAAAGAACGGAAGUUAAGUAGGUACGGUCCACAGCUUUAUUCACGCUUUUCGCUCGCAAAUCUCGUAAACUUUUGAUGUUAUCCGCUCGGACUAAGAGAAUCCUCGCUCCAGAAGAUGAAGAGGCACACAAAUCUUCGACGGGGUGCUUGGAUAACAAACAGUUUGCGCGCGAGUGAGCGUAGCAAGGCGAAACGAAGCAAUUUCAGUCGAUUAACACGCGAUGCUUAAUUAGAAUCACUUCUCGUACCGUGCAUCACACAAUAUCUGCCAUUUCCAAGAUAAUGGAGAAAGAUCCAUAUAUCAAGUGUCAGUAAGCACACGAAGAAGAUAGCUCCUACAUGCAGCUAUCUGUUAUAGAAAUAUCUUUAGGUAUUUGAUACUCGAUUAAUCUAAAUAUCUUUCUUCUUUUCGUGGUCAUUUUUGUGGUUUAAGCAUAGCGCGCGACAUUGGAAAAUGUCGAGAUAAUAGUGAAAUAAUGUAUUAUUUAUUAAGAUAUUUUUUAUCAGCUAGGAACACGGUGUUAAUCUUCGCUCACAAAUAACGGCGUUGUUGCGGCGGAGAAUUAUGAACUAAUUAGCUCUUCAAGCCAAGGAUUACGUCGCGCGUGUUCGAGCCCGUGCAGUUACGCAAGCCGCAGCAGCGUCUGAUCUAUGCGGGAAUUGUAACAAAUUUCGUUGUUAAUUAAGUCGGAACUUCGAACGAGCGGUGCGACGCGUUGAUGGCCUCUGUUCAUUUUGCAGAAAGUCUUCUCGGUCGAUUCUCCUGGCGCAUAUAACGAGCAAAUUUCUUUCUUAAUGUCGCCAUUGGCUCGAUAUGCUUGUAAAGUGCAACAGACUUAGCAACGAUUAGAAAUAACAAAAUACUAUAUAACAGAUCGUACCAAUCAAUGUAGAAAACUAUUUUACGAAUUUACGAGCUUCUAACUGUAUAAAAUAUGAUAAAGAAUUAUCUUUAUUACAUCUACCUUGAUAUUCAUUUACUACGUUUCAAUUAAAUUUUUCCGCGUGUACGCUAAACAAUUAGGAAAAUAUCCAUGAAGAAUCUUCCUUCGGUUUCGCGCCAGACGUCGCGGCGCCCAGCAUUUAUUAUAAUGCUUAUACUUUCCGAGUCGCGCGCCGAAAAGUUUUAUAUUCCGUGACUUUUUACCACUUUGCGCGAGUUGAAUGUUUCCUCCGAAACCGCGAGACGCGGAGAUCUCUAAUCGAGACGGAAUACGCCCGACUUUUGCUCCGUGGUAUUACGUCCGUGCUUUCCGCUCUGGGACGUAUUGCUUUUCCGGGGCGAUAUGUUAGUGGCUAUUGUAGCGAAUCAUCGAUACUUAGCUCUUAAAGCGAACACACUCGCGGUUUAUCAGCCAAUGUGGCGGCGAUCUUAUUUCCCGAUAUUUUAAUUGAAUUUAAUAAUUUAUAUAUUAUUAAUUGAAUUUUAUAAUUAAUUGAAUUUAAGACUUUAAUAAUUUAAUUGAAUGUCACACGCCAUUAGCUACUCUUUACAUUUACAUUUUCUUUGGGACGCAAUUUUCUUGGUCUAAAAUAUUGAGCGUAUUUUAACAAUGUUAAUUAGAAAUGCUUAAAAAUGAAGAUUUCUCGCGAAUAAAAAAAUCAACUUGAUAUUUAUUAUAAAUAAAGAUUCAACUGAAGCAUUAUUGAAGCAAUGAUGAUACCUUCUUUGCAUAAAGUUGUGUAGGGAAAAGAGAAUGAGAAACGAAUGAGAUACGAAUUGCAAACUUCCUCGUUCCCUUCUCUGGAAGAAUGUCUGAGCGAAUACAAAAGACCAAGGAAGCGCGAGCGUCUUUCUCUUUGUCUUUAAUUCUCCGACUCUUCGUCGUACACAAAAGCUGUCAGCAUCAGCGAUGUAAUAAGGAACUGCAAGCUAUUUCGGAGCUUUUGCAUGCCAGACAUGCUCGAGCGUUAGCACGUGCGCGAAACGCGUGUGUUACUCUCGAGACUACUUCGUUCUAUCUUCUCAUGUCGAUUUGUCCCUCCAUGCUGCCGUCGAGGAAACUUUCACUACAAAACUGUCCGUCGUUGCCUCCUCGUUGUGACUGACAGCUCCAUUUGCGACGUCAAGGGGAAAAUUCCUCGCGGGAAAGACUAAUCGAAAGUAUGCUCGGGGACCAGUUGCGUGAAUUUUUCUGACUUCGCAAGGGAUCGCGUGUCCCUCUUGGCUUACGUUCAUCCCCGACGCUUCAUGAAUACCAUAUAAAUACCAGAGAAAUUGCAAAUAUGUAAAUCGGUAAACAAGAUGGAGAACAAUGAACCUCUGUAUCGUGAGAGAUUUUUCAUAUUUCUACGAAUUAUAAUUCUUUAUGUUCUUAUAAUUCUUUCAACAUGUGAACAUUCGUCCAGUCAAAAGACGUUUUGCAUCGUGAAGACCACCUCAAGAAACGAGAAAGUGCUGAGAUGGUCUUCAUAAAGCAGCAUAAUAAUACCUUGAACUUACAAAAGGACACGGAGAACCUACCGAUUGUAUACAACAAUAUUUUGCGAAAAACACAUCUAUCUCGGAACGCGUGAAUUCGUCAUUCGGUGUUGAACUGAGCAAGACGCUGUUUCAGUGUCUCCGCAAUGUGUCUUUUUGUUUGUGUCGCUGCUCCCGUUGGAGAUAAUUGAUGGUUGCUUUUUGGAAAAAGUGACUAUUUCGCACUUGAUAAGGACCCUAAUUUGAGGUCGAAACGUAGUGCUACCAAUAUUUUGUUUCACCAGUUCUUGGUCGUGAAUAAAGAAUUAUCAUAUUUUAAAUCACUGGUGUCGAAGCUAAUUUGGAUCUUUAUUUAUUGUUCGUAGUUGCAAUCUUGAUGGAAAUCGCGUAUUAAUUUUCGAUCGACGACAUCCAUCAUGGAGACUGAUGAAAUUUUGGCGAACCAGUUGCGCGAUUCGGGAACGGUCAGCGGUCGUAGGCCGUGUUAGGCUGACAGUAAGAUAGAUUUAUAAGCCGAAGUUUAGCUGCCGACUGCCUGGCCAUUUAUCAUAACUAACGCGCUGGAUCACGUUAGUCAACCCUUUAACUGGUGCGAACGCACACAUGUAGACAUGCGCGGCGCUUUACUUGCUGCAUUCCACUUUAGUACAUUUCCGUGAUAUAUUUAUUUUACGAUAUUAUCCUCCAUCAUUUAACACUAUGGCGUACUGUUGUGUGGGAUCAAUGUUGCACGUUGCUGUACACAAUUAUUCCUUAUAACUCGAACUUACAUUAAUACUAGAAUUAUUUUUGUCUUUAACUCGAGCCAUAUCUUACUUGGCAAGAUUUGGUGGUAACGCGAAUUUUGAUGAGAAGAAGAAGAUAUGUCAUUUUCAAUUCGGAUAUCAAGGGCAUAAGUAUGGCCUUUCAUUUCAUUAUUAAUGUAUGGAAUUUAAUUUCCAAGGUUAGCUCUCUUUAAUUGCGCUACACACAGGAUUUGUGGAUCACUGCUAUUUCCAGGCUAAAAGAGCUAUUCGUCGGUCGUGGAACUAUGACAGUCGUUUCUCGUUAAGACGCCAGACUAAACGCUAUUGUCUAAUUAAUGAAGUUACCGAUUUACACUCGGAGCAAAAUACGCCACAAUAGAUUGCAGAUACUGGCAUAGAGUGGACCGGAUUUCUCUAUGGUGUAUUGACGUGCUCGGCUCCCUCUAGCAUUCAUACCAUUCGCUCUAUACUAUUCGCCGCACACUGUGUGCCUUAAUAUUAAUUUACGUACAAAGCAUAUUGUGUUAUAUCGUGUUAUACAGUAGUCCAUUCUCCCACCUUUGUUUUUUUAUCCUCUGCAUCAUCAGAAAAUUUAUGUGCAUAUUGCCCGACACUAAUAACGGAAACUUACAACGUGACAAUAAACAUAAUGUAAAUCUCGAUGUAAAUAUAUUAUUAUAUGAAAAAUUGUUAGUAAAAAAGAGAGAGAAGAAGAUCAGAGAGGAAAUGUAGAAAAUGUAGGAAAUGUUUGUUAAAAAAAAAUAUAGAAAGAUGUUCGCUGAGGAUGCAUAUAUUGGAUUGUAAUAAAAGUAAUAGCGUUGUUUAAUUUUUUUUAAUGAAAAAAAGAUGGCAAGAUCUGGAAAGAUGAAAUCAUGAAACUAUAUCACAAUGAUGGGAAAUGUUAGUAGAACAAGAAGGCGCACAUGUAGCUGAAUAAAUAUUUAUGCAUAUAAAUAUAUGUAAUAAUUUUGUUUUGGAAUUUCACUAAAAUAACGCUAUGAACUUUUGUUACAACCCAAUAAUAUGAGAGGAAAAUUUGAAAGAUAUAUUUUCACAUGCUCGGUAGAGGCAUAAAACAUGAGUGCAGCAUUCUUGUGGAGGAAGGUUUGACUUCGAAAUUGCCUCGACAGCGUAAUUCUGUAACUGAUAUACGUCUGUUGGCUGCACUUUGCACAGACAUAAGUCAAUACGUUCCAACAUUACCUUACCGAUUCGUUGUAACAUUCGCGUGUUUGCGUUUAAUCUCUUUCCUUAGGUUCUUUGAGCCAGCAACUCCGAUAUAAAAGCAUCGUAAAGCAUUUGCUCGCGCUUUGAUCUCUUUCCGCGGCACGGCUUUCGUAAUACAUACGACGGCUCAAGGAGAUUAUGCAUUUAUCGGAUUACGUCGAUGUAACAUUGAGUUGAAGAAAAACUUUUGAAGAUAGAACCUAACAAGGGGUCGCGUUACCUUGCGUUUGUCUCGCGAAUAACGAGAUAACGAGAUGGAGAUUGAAAGCGCAAGAACAAGACUAGGUUUUCUUGAAAAAUGUAAGAGCAUCAAGAAAUAGUUAUGUCUUGACACUUUACGAUAACAGCUUUUUUUCUUAAUAUCAAGCCUUCAUUCUGAAACGUUUUGAAAUAUUUUAUUUUAUCGAUGGAAUGGAAUGGUAGAUUAAUGGCACUGCAUUUUUUGUGCCUGUACUCGCGUUCCUGUUGCAUAUUUCCAUAUUCACAAUCCGAAGUAAUUCUUGCGGUGAAAACUGCAAGCGGUGAAUGCCUUUUUCGCCCCGCAUCACCACUCGGCGAAUACUAAAUGGCGGAUAACUCAUUUAUUGAAGAAAGUGGAUCUCUCAGCGAUUCUCUCGCAGCAACGAAUCUUCAAUUCGCAAUUGCCGUCGCGAUUGCUGCCGCCAUCGAUGGCGCGGAAUUCACGUCGUUAUUUACCUUGCCGGGAGUUCAGAGACCGCCGCGAGACCGGGGCUCGCGUAUGCAAAUAGAUAUUUCAUUCCUGUCUGCGGGAACAAGGAUCGAGGUUGGGGGAUAAGGUGAUUUUCUCGAGGGAAAUUCAGCGAGGGGCACUCCGAUUCGCACGUUUCUCGUUUUGUUUUUCACCGUCUCCCUUCCGGCGCAAGCCACGCGAUGGAGACAGGCUGCACCACGAUGCAGUUGCUUUCGAUCCCGGUUUAUUCUCUAUUCUCUCCGAUGAUUCCUCCGGCUGCGUCCACCCGUCAAUCCCACAACAGAAAAAAA
rnacentral:lncRNA from 1 species